GUAGGGUGCGAGCGUUAAUCGGAAUUACUGGGCGUAAAGAGUGCGUAGGCGGUUCGCUGUGUCCGAUGUGAAAGCCCCGGGCUCAACCUGGGAAUGGCAUGGGAAACUGGCGGGCUGGAGUGUGGCAGAGGGGGGUGGAAUUCCGCGUGUAGCAGUGAAAUGCGUAGAGAUGCGGAGGAACACCGAUGGCGAAGGCAGCCCCCUGGGCCAACACUGACGCUCAGGCACGAAAGCGUGGGGAGCAAACAGGAUUAGAUACCCUGGUAGUCCACGCCCUAAACCAUGUCGACUGGGUGUCGGGGAAGUGAUUCCUUGGUACCGUAGCUAACGCGUGAAGUCGACCGCCUGGGGAGUACGGCCGCAAGGUUA
rnacentral:rRNA from 1 species